UGCACUAUCUCUGCACUAAACAAGGUACAGUAUACUGCACUAUCUCUGCACUAAACAAGGUACAGUAUACUGCACUAUCUCUGCACUAAACAAGGUACAGUAUACUGCACUAUCUCUGCACUAAACAAGGUACAGUAUACUGCACUAUCUCUGCACUAAACAAGGUACAGUAUACUACACUAUCUCUGCACUAAUCAAGGUACAGUAUACUGCACUAUCUCUGCACUAAACAAGGUACAGUAUACUGCACUAUCUCUGCACUAAACAAGGUACAGUAUACUACACUAUCUCUGCACUAAUCAAGGUACAGUAUACUGCACUAUCUCUGCACUAAACAAGGUACAGUAUACUGCACUAUCUCUGCACUAAACAAGGUACAGUAUACUACACUAUCUCUGCACUAAUCAAGGUACAGUAUACUGCACUAUCUCUGCACUAAACAAGGUACAGUAUACUGCACUAUCUCUGCACUAAACAAGGUACAGUAUACUACACUAUCUCUGCACUAAUCAAGGUACAGUAUACUGCACUAUCUCUGCACUAAACAAGGUACAGUAUACUGCACUAUCUCUGCACUAAACAAGGUACAGUAUACUACACUAUCUCUGCACUAAUCAAGGUACAGUAUACUGCACUAUCUCUGCACUAAACAAGGUACAGUAUACUACACUAUCUCUGCACUAAUCAAGGUACAGUAUACUACACUAUCUCUGCACUAAUCAAGGUACAGUAUACUACACUAUCUCUGCACUAAUCAAGGUAAAUGUUUCAGGUGAAAGUCUAACCAUUCUUCUCCUUUCACUGUUCUACGAUAUUAAAAUGUGUAUAAAUACAAACAUACUGUAAUGUUUGUUUAUUUACACAUAAAUAUGAUUAUUGAUUGAUUAUGAUGAUGAUUCUGAUUAUUUACACAAAUAUUAACAGACCUGUUAUCAAUAAAAUGUCUACUUAAUAUUGUGCUACAGUUAUUCAAGUACUGUAGAGUAGAUUGUUGUACAACAAUUAAUUAGUAAGGUAGUUAAGUUGAA